UACGGAGGGUGCAAGCGUUGUUCGGAAUCACUGGGCGUAAAGGGCGUGUAGGCGGUCCGCUAAGUCUGAUGUGAAAGCCCGGGGCUCACCCCCGGAAGGGCAUUGGAAACUGGCGGACUCGAGUCCCGGAGAGGAAGGUGGAAUUCCUGGUGUAGCGGUGAAAUGCGUAGAUAUCAGGAGGAACACCUGCGGUGUAGACGGCUUACUGGACCAUAACUGACGCUGAGGCACGAAAGCGUGGGUAGCAAACAGG
rnacentral:rRNA from 1 species